GUGUGUCUGGAUUCUGGAACAGUUUCAGCUCCACGGACUUGGUGAAGCUGAUUACUCAUAGCUUCAUAUGAAUGACUAUCUCCACCAAAUCUGUGGAGUUGGAGUGAUCCCAAACACAUCC